AUGUCCUGGAUUUGCCCAUCCACGCAGAGCUCCGACCCCUCGGCGUGUUCUCCAUCCCAGCUCCCUGGAAUUCCCGCUGCAUUCCAGAGGCUCCCUGUGCUCCCCACACAUCCUGGGGUCCAUCCUGACGUGGAUCCCAUCCCUUUCUCCCCACAGCGAGGGCCUCCAGGAGAGCCCGGCCCACGGGGGCCCCCCGGUCCCUCAGGAGUGCCGGGAGCCGAUGGCAUCGACGGUGACAAAGGUCCCGCCGGAGCCCCGGGAUCCCCGGGUGUCAAGGGCGAGCCUGGAGCCCCUGGGCCGGAUGGACCUCCAGGGAAGCCGGGCAUUGAUGGCCUGACGGGAGCGAAAGGGGAGCCAGGACCUAUCGGCAGGCCAGGAGUUAAAGUGAGUGAGGGGCCGCCCCAACUCCCACAUUCCCAAAUUCCCACAUUCCCAAAUUUCCCACCUUCCCAAGAUCCCAUAUUCCAAAUUUCCCACCUUCCCAGAAUCCCACAUUCCAAAUUUCCCACCUUCCCAAGCUCCCAGAUUCCCAAUUUCCCACCUUCCCAAGCUCCCAGAUUCCAAAUUUCCCACAUUCCCAGGAUCCCACAUUCCCAAUUUCCCCACAUUCCCAGGC
rnacentral:lncRNA from 1 species